UAAUAAGUGUUUUAUGGCACUUUUUAAAUCCAUAUCCAACCUUGUGUGCAAUGUCGGUCGAUCUUCUUUUUUUGAGGAUCGACCAAACAUCAAACCUUUAUUUUUUAACUCUUUUGUCUGAAAAAUAUUAUGAAUAAACAAUUCAAAUA
rnacentral:misc_RNA from 1 species